GGCUUUGUGUUAGGAAUGGAUUUACAGGUCAUGUGCUGGUGUUCCAACCCUUGGAAAAUGGUGCAGGUUAAGAAUUCAGGUUCAUUGCAGCCUUUGUCUUGGUUAAAGCAUGGAGCCUUGGCCUUGAAGUGCAUUGUGUAGCCAUUUUGACCAUGUGUAGUUCAUGAUGUAUGAUUGAGGAGUGACCUAUUACAUUGUGUACUGUUUUUUUUCUUGAACAUGUGAAUGAUUGGCUUUGUAGGUUUUGAACACAAAUGGCUUGGAAACGGUAUGGCCUUGUCAUGUGGUUAUGGUCUGCUGCAGGCACUGCAGACUUGGCAAGAUUUUUGUAGGGUGUUAGCUGCAAUGUUUGAGUAGGGCCAUGAUGCAAGAUUAGCUACGUGGUUGGUGUGUUGUAAGUGGUUUGCAUCUGGCUCAAUGCAGCAGGUACAUUGCAUGAAGCUGGUUGCACUAGCUUAUGCUUCACGUGUGUAGUUUAUGGCUCCUAGUUCAUGGCAUGAUGGCAUUGAAGAUCCUGUGCAAAUGGCCAAAACAAGAUCAAGAUGGAGUUGUAAAAUGGGAUUAGGACUAGGAUUGGACAAUUGGUGG